rnacentral:sRNA from 1 species
UGUAAUUUUGAUAAAAAUGUGUCGUGCAUAAAAAUAUUUUCUGUUACAACUAAUUGAUCACAGCCAGUGACAGAUUUAUCUGUUCCUUCUCCACUCCCAUCGCUUCACUUGACUAGCUUUAA